CCUUGGAGGGGAGGGAGGCGCCCACGGGUGCCCCGCGUACCGAGCGAGCACGGGGCGCAGGACGCGGUCUCGUGGGAUGGUCUUCGGCGCCCCCAGUGAAAGGGUCAUUCAACCGCCAAAGGGGUCGCGACCCUCAGGUUGAGAACCGCUGCCCCAGAAGAUCCAGUCGGGCUAGCAUGUCGGGACUGACGGCUCCGUGGGAAAAUGCAGAGUCCAAACCGCCAUCCACUGUGACCUCUUGGGGCUCUGGCGCGCUCGGCUGGAGGAAGGGAUGUAACCGCCAAGCUCACACGGAUUUCCGCGAUCUUGGUACAAACAAAGGAGUGUGAGCUGCCUCACUGAUGGCAUUUCAUAUCGUUUCGGAUGUGCGGCAUUAGAGACAGCAUCGGGAACGUUCACUUCACCGGUUCCUUUUUACAUUUUUUUUUUAAGUGUGGCUACCAGGGAAUGUUACAUUGUGUGUGCGGCUGUCAUUUCCGCUGAACAGCGCUGCCUGGAGGCAGGCCUGGAUCUGGUUCCCACGUCUGCUUGCUCCUUACCCUCUUGUCACCAAGGCGGCCUGGCUUGCGUACCCAAGAGCAGACCUGCCCUUAAAAAGUUUGAAAGUCUGAGAUCCAGAGAAACCAAUAAAAUAUGAAGGCGGUGGCCUUAAAGCUUGCCCAUAAAGAUGGCACCGAUGAUGGGCUUUUUGAAUUCAAGAAUGGGACCUUCUUGCGCUCAGGGCUGUCCUCUGCCGGGCAUCUCAGCGGAAAGGAGAGAUGGACAUCAGCCUGGAGCUGCCCUGCACUCCGUUGGUGUCAGCCUUCCAUAGGCUGCUGCAGCCAG